AUUGAACGCUGGCGGCAGGCCUAACACAUGCAAGUCGAGCGGAUGAAGGGAGCUUGCUCCUGGAUUCAGCGGCGGACGGGUGAGUAAUGCCUAGGAAUCUGCCUGGUAGUGGGGGAUAACGUCCGGAAACGGGCGCUAAUACCGCAUACGUCCUGAGGGAGAAAGUGGGGGAUCUUCGGACCUCACGCUAUCAGAUGAGCCUAGGUCGGAUUAGCUAGUUGGUGGGGUAAAGGCCUACCAAGGCGACGAUCCGUAACUGGUCUGAGAGGAUGAUCAGUCACACUGGAACUGAGACACGGUCCAGACUCCUACGGGAGGCAGCAGUGUGGAAUAUUGGACAAAGGGCGAAAGCCUGAUCCAGCCAUGCCGCGUGUGUGAAGAAGGUCUUCGGAUUGUAAAGCACUUUAAGUUGGGAGGAAGGGCAGUAAGUUAAUACCUUGCUGUUUUGACGUUACCAACAGAAUAAGCACCGGCUAACUUCGUG
rnacentral:rRNA from 1 species